UGUGAACUCGAAGAGUAGGGCGGGACACGUGGUAUCCUGUCUGAAUAUGGGGGGACCAUCCUCCAAGGCUAAAUACUCCUGACUGACCGAUAGUGAACCAGUACCGUGAGGGAAAGGCGAAAAGAACCCCGGCGAGGGGAGUGAAAAAGAACCUGAAACCGUGUACGUACAAGCAGUGGGAGCACCUUCGGGUGUGACUGCGUACCUUUUGUAUAAUGGGUCAGCGACUUAUAUUCUGUAGCAAGGUUAACCGUAUAGGGGAGCCGCAGGGAAACCGAGUCUUAACUGGGCGUUAAGUUGCAGGGUAUAGACCCGAAACCCGGUGAUCUAGCCAUGGGCAGGUUGAAGGUUGGGUAACACUAACUGGAGGACCGAACCGACUAAUGUUGAAAAAUUAGCGGAUGACUUGUGGCUGGGGGUGAAAGGCCAAUCAAACCGGGAGAUAGCUGGUUCUCCCCGAAAGCUAUUUAGGUAGCGCCUCGUGAACUCAUCUUCGGGGGUAGAGCACUGUUUCGGCUAGGGGGUCAUCCCGACUUACCAACCCGAUGCAAACUACGAAUACCGAAGAAUGUUAUCACGGGAGACACACGGCGGGUGCUAACGUCCGUCGUGAAGAGGGAAACAACCCAGACCGCCAGCUAAGGUCCCAAAGUCAUGGUUAAGUGGGAAACGAUGUGGGAAGGCACAGACAGCCAGGAUGUUGGCUUAGAAGCAGCCAUCAUUUAAAGAAAGCGUAAUAGCUCACUGGUCGAGUCGGCCUGCGCGGAAGAUGUAACGGGGCUAAACCAUGCACCGAAGCUGCGGCAGCGACACUAUGUGUUGUUGGGUAGGGGAGCGUUCUGUAAGCCUGCGAAGGUGUGCUGUGAGGCAUGCUGGAGGUAUCAGAAGUGCGAAUGCUGACAUAAGUAACGAUAAAGCGGGUGAAAAGCCCGCUCGCCGGAAGACCAAGGGUUCCUGUCCAACGUUAAUCGGGGCAGGGUGAGUCGACCCCUAAGGCGAGGCCGAAAGGCGUAGUCGAUGGGAAACAGGUUAAUAUUCCUGUACUUGGUGUUACUGCGAAGGGGGGACGGAGAAGGCUAUGUUAGCCGGGCGACGGUUGUCCCGGUUUAAGCAUGUAGGCUGGUUGUCCAGGCAAAUCCGGAUAAUCAAGGCUGAGGUGUGAUGACGAGGCACUACGGUGCUGAAGUAACAAAUGCCCUGCUUCCAGGAAAAGCCUCUAAGCAUCAGGUAACAUCAAAUCGUACCCCAAACCGACACAGGUGGUCAGGUAGAGAAUACCAAGGCGCUUGAGAGAACUCGGGUGAAGGAACUAGGCAAAAUGGUGCCGUAACUUCGGGAGAAGGCACGCUGGUGUGUAGGUGAAG
rnacentral:rRNA from 1 species